rnacentral:rRNA from 1 species
GAUGAACGCUGGCGGCGUGCCUAAUACAUGCCAGUCGAGCGAACAGACGAGGAGCUUGCUCCUCUGACGUUAGCGGCGGACGGGUGAGUAACACGUGGAUAACCUACCUAUAAGACUGGGAUAACUUCGGGAAACCGGAGCUAAUACCGGAUAACAUGUUGAACCGCAUGGUUCAACAGUGAAAGACGGUUUUGCUGUCACUUAUAGAUGGAUCCGCGUCGCAUUAGCUAGUUGGUAAGGUAACGGCUUACCAAGGCAACGAUGCGUAGCCGACCUGAGAGGGUGAUCGGCCGCACUGGAACUGAGACACGGUCCAGACUCCUACGGGAGGCAGCAGUAGGGAAUCUUCCGCAAUGGGCGAAAGCCUGACGGAGCAACGCCGCGUGAGUGAAGAAGGUCUUCGGAUCGUAAAACUCUGUUAUUAGGGAAGAACAAAUGUGUAAGUAACUAUGCACGUCUUGACGGUACCUAAUCAGAAAGCCACGGCUAACUACGUG